ensembl:snoRNA SNORD58 Small nucleolar RNA SNORD58
UUGCCAUGAUGACCAUCUUAGGACACCUUUGGAAUUCUCCAUGAAAACAAAUUGAUUGUCUGAGCAAC